rnacentral:lncRNA from 1 species
UGUGUACAUUUAAAAACAGAGAGCAUGUACAUGGCGUGCCCAGUAAUUUAAGGCAAGUCAAAUUUUCAGAUGGGAAAAAGAUGUGUAAUUUGAAAAAACAUGUUAUUGGGUGUUUAUAUUUUUAUACAUCUCUUUGACCUUCAGUUUCUACUUUUUCUCCUCUAAAAACAUCAUCAUGUUGCAAGAUACUUGUUGUGCACAAUGCUGUCCCACCAGACAGGCUGGGCAGAGAGGGAGGCAUAGGAACAGAAACACGAGAGAUGGUACAUUGACUGGUUUAUUCUUUUCUUCAUGAUGCAUUUACCUGUGUGUGUACUCUGCCAUUGAAACCGAGAGGAAAGAGAGAAAGAAGAUGUGCGUGCCUCUCCACCCUCAUCUGCUAGAACACUGCAGGAUGACCAUCACCCGCAGCUCAGGGGCCACACAGUGGAGAGAUUUUCAGAUCAGCAUGGGGAAGUCCAGCAGUCCCUCCUGUUCAGAAGUGCUGGGGACAGAUGCUGCCCAGCAGGGCUUGGAGACCGCUAAGGGCACAAGGAGGGAGGACUGCUGCUUCUCAGAGUUUCCAGCCCUCGGUCACAGCGCCCGGAGGGAGCUCAGCACCUUGACCUGUGCCGAGUGAGGAGAAGGAUCUCGUUGCGCAGAUAUUCUCUUCCAUUAAAAUACUUUGUCAAAUUGAUUUUCAAGACAUGACUCUAUUUUGUAGAUCCAUUGAUGAGCCUUUCCAGUGUGAACUUUGUCUCUAAAGACAUUUGUUUUCCACAACAUGGACUCGCAGUUUAAUCCCUUGAGUCAGUUGUUUCAAAUGAUUGUGAGAAGUACAUUAUUUACAGUAAAUUUGAGUACAGGUACAGUGGGAGAUUAUGAUCUUUUUAAAGGGUUAUCCUUUAUUUGUGUUAGAUUCUUAGGAAAACUAUUGAUGCAGAAGUAGAAAUACUAAGGUAGGAGGUGUGAAUUUGCCUGGUAAACGACCUCCCCUGACUUCACCUUGGUCUUCUCUUUGUCAUUUACUGUACUUUAAUUCCCCUACUAUAUUUACUAUUUCUAGAAGUGUAGAGUGUUACUAGCAUGUCUUUUCAUAUUAUAGCACCGAGUGUUGGAUACUGAAUAUUCUUAUAGUAUGUUAACAUUUUAUGAAUAUUUUAUUAAUCAGCUUGAGAUUGCUACAUCGAAAAACCCGAGGUGACUAAGUUUAUAGGAAAAGUCUACCUUGUUCACAGCUUAGGGGGCUGAAGUCG